GACGAACGCUGGCGGCGUGCUUAACACAUGCAAGUCGAACGAAGAGCGACGGAAGCUUGCUUCUAUCAAUCUUAGUGGCGAACGGGUGAGUAACGCGUAAUCAACCUGCCCUUCAGAGGGGGACAACAGUUGGAAACGACUGCUAAUACCGCAUACGAUCUAACCUCGGCAUCGAGGAUAGAUGAAAGGUGGCCUCUACAUGUAAGCUAUCACUGCAGGAGGGAAUUGCGUCUGAUUAGCUAGUUGGAGGGGUAACGGCCCACCAAGGCGAUGAUCAGUAGCCGGUCUGAGAGGAUGAACGGCCACAUUGGGACUGAGACACGGCCCAGACUCCUACGGGAGGCAGCAGUGGGGAAUCUUCCGCAAUGGACGAAAGUCUGACGGAGCAACGCCGCGGGAGUGAUGACGGCCUUCGGGUUGUAAAGCUCGGUUAAUCGGGACGAAAGGCCUUCUUGCGAAUAGUGAGAAGGAUUGACGGUACCGGAAUAGAAAGCCACGGCUAACUACGUG
rnacentral:rRNA from 1 species